UUGAACGCUGGCGGCAGGCCUAACCCAUGCAAGUCGAGCGGAUGAAGGGAGCUUGCUCCUGGAUUCAGCGGCGGACGGGUGAGUAAUGCCUAGGAAUCUGCCUGGUAGUGGGGGAUAACGUCCGGAAACGGGCGCUAAUACCGCAUACGUCCUGAGGGAGAAAGUGGGGGAUCUUCGGACCUCACGCUAUCAGAUGAGCCUAGGUCGGAUUAGCUAGUUGGUGGGGUAAAGGCCUACCAAGGCGACGAUCCGUAACUGGUCUGAGAGGAUGAUCAGUCACACUGGAACUGAGACACGGUCCAGACUCCUACGGGAGGCAGCAGUGGGGAAUAUUGGACAAUGGGCGAAAGCCUGAUCCAGCCAUGCCGCGUGUGUGAAGAAGGUCUUCGGAUUGUAAAGCACUUUAAGUCGGGAGGAAGGGCAGUAAGUUAAUACCUUGCUGUUUUGACGUUACCAACAGAAUAAGCACCGGCUAACUUCGUG
rnacentral:rRNA from 1 species